UGCAGCUGGUGCAGCGUGACAGCAGUGUCACCCUGACAGCCAUGUGGGGCCUCCAGCGCGGCUCUCGCCUGCUGGCCACCGCGCUGCGUGUCCCCUGCGCCCCCCGCGCCCCCGUCACCUCCAAACCGCCCGAACAUCCCCUCUCUGCCGCUGAGCAAGCCAUUGCCUUUGGUGUAAUGUCUGCGUGCUUCCUGCUGCCCACAGCCUGGAUCCUGGCACACGUGGAGCACUACAAGAGCAGACCGGAGUAAGAAGCAGCAAGCAGAACUUCCACAGCCCAUUAGGAGCAGAAGUAUGAGCGCAGAUAGAAGCACAGAACAGCCCUUCAACGGGAAGGAGCACUCCAAGUUUGGUGAUUAAAAUCCACAUUAGCGUUCGGCA